UGUGCAAAGGUCGACCUCAUGAGUCGACCUCCUGUGAUGAAAACUUCCGUAACGGUUAGUUUUCAAUUCUUUUUGACAGUAUUUAAUGCUCUUUUAAUGAUCUUCAAUGGCUCUAUUUCAGUCCAAAUUUCUCUCUACCAUCUAUUGAAGCUAUAAAGGCACUUAAAGGAGGAAAAAAGAAGCAAGUUUUGAAGAGACUCAAGCAUUUAUUUCAGCCCUGAGCAAAAAGAUCUCUUCAAGAAAAAGAAGCUUUCAAUUCAAGUUCACCAACC
rnacentral:lncRNA from 1 species